rnacentral:lncRNA from 1 species
AACCACUUCUGAGAUUUUUACUUCCCAACCUAAGAAAUAGGAUAUUCAUUUUUCUCCAAAUCUGAUUAUUCCUCUGAAAGUUCACCAACAGAUGCCUGGCACACUGCGGAGACCAGACUCCUUACACUGACUACUUUGGUGAAUAAUCAAAUGGAUUAAUAAAUUAAGCUUAAGGAGUUACUAGUCUAAUUAUUUUUAUUAUCACCAUUCAAAAUCUUUAUGGGGCAGGUACUAUGAAGUUGGGAUGCUUGGGAUUCUGCCACUAAGAGGCAAAGUGGUUCAAGACUGGGAGGACUUGGUAAAAAUCAAAUACUCCCCUUUACCAUAGCUAGGGCUGGAGUCUCCAGUUGUUCAAGCAUUAAAUUGGUAUUCACCAGGUGCUACUGCUUGUAAUCAUGACUCUACAUUCAAUACAUUCAAUACCCAAUGUAUCACCCCUGGUUCUUUCCUGCUUUCUUAUCUUUCACUUACUAGCUCUAGUUACUAAUCCUGACACUUGAAGGCAUUUUUUUUCUGCCUGGUAUAUGGUACUCACCUGCUUACUAAGACACCACAUAGCACCUGAGAGCUCCUGGGUGGGGGCUCCACUAACCCUGACACCCAAUCUUAACUCUCCUCACAGACUUCUUGCAGGAAGUCAGCCAGGUUUCAUGAGAUGAAUAUCUGUCUGUUUCCUUCUGACUCACUGAAAUGUGAGUAAGUGUUUGGAACAGACCCUUGUUUGGGAGGCAGGAGAGUUCCCUUCAUAUGAGACAGGAAUCUGUGCUUUGUCUCAGGGUGCUGGAGAGGAAAAUGUACCCUUCUUUGCUUUGUGCUCAGAACUAGACAAAUUAACGUGCUGGCAUGAGGUUCAGAAUAAAUCAGGAGCUAUAUAUUUUUCCAGAGCAGGCAACAAUUUCAAAUUUCAAGAAACAAAGAACCAACUCCUGCCCCAUUUUUUUUGUCUCUCAGGAUCCAAGAUGCCUCAGGGCCAUGGCAGGAACACUGUCACCUGCCACUGGACCUAUGAUGCUAAGACCUCUCAGAAAGCCACAGUGCCUAUGCUGUGUGCUGACUCCCUCCUACGUGGCUCCUCUGUAGCAGAAAGAAACAAUGAUGCCACUCAUUUUUCCCCAUUUAAUCUUCUUUCCGGCUUUUAAAAAAUAGGGGUGGGGACAGGAACUGUCAGCAGGGGACUGUUCAAGAAGACACCUGGCUUUCAUUGUCAUUGAGAAGAUUUCUUUACAAAAUUUUGCUCUUAAACUUCAUGCGUAGAUUAAACUGCAAUGAAACAUUCAAUUCGGAGUCUCAGUGUUGCUGAAAUGCCCCUGAAAUUCCAGACUUAGACUUUUUCCAUCAUGAUGUGACUUGAAACAUGGUUAAGAUCAAACAUAGUCAUAGUUAUGCGUGUCACUGGCGUCGCCUAGAUAUUGCCAUGAUUUCCACAGUGUGUCAGAUACGUAAAGGAUUUCCAAGCCUCAACUCCCCAACAAAGAACAUCUAGCCCUCAAGGCCCUUCGAGGCGCACCAGGCUUAGCAUGGCCUUGCCAAGAGAACCCAAAUUAAAACCAAACAUUCCCCACUGUACAGCUGAGAAGAGAGGAAACCAUCUGGGAAGCAGAAAGCAGAGAGAUCCUGCAAAUGGGCCCUGGGUCCUAGUGCCAGGUCCUCCAGGCCUUGAAAUUCUCUAGCCUGGAAGUCUUGUAUAAAGCUCUGAACUCAUUAGCUCUGAGAGAAAGGCUUUCUUAUACUUUCAAAGGGAGAAAAAAAAAAAAAUGCCGAUCUCAAAGCAGGGAGUCCAACAUUACAAGUGAUAAUACAUCCUUGUAAAUUUUUUGGUAUGGUGAAACUUCAGCCAGUGUUUAUGUGUACGUCUGAUGUGGGAGGGCUGAUCCUGGGACACUGUGGAUUCAGGAGCUCAGGCUUAAGAACUGGACCUCUUGGGCACCGCUGGGGCGGAAGAGCCUACCUAGGCUCCUGUACUUUCUCUCAAGGUUGGUGGUUAAAGAUCCUCACUUGGAAUUUCCAAAUUCAAGGUUACAUUUUAAUAGGAGGAUAAAAAAAUAGUGACUCAUUCACCAGAUGACAAUGUUAGAUUUGAACUCUUUUUUAUUGUUUUACGUAAAAUGUUGCAUAACAGCGCUCCCAUUCAGGAAGUGGCAGUAUUUAGUCUUUUGUAAGGCACAACACAGUUCACCUUCAGUGGAGGUUUCUGAAUUUCUGGGUAGGAGGUGUUUAGGGACAGAAGUCUGAUUGGAAGGGUUGCCCAGUGGAAUCACCUUGAAGUUGUAUUUGCAUUAAAAUGCCUGCUGUUUACAGUUAGACUGUAUACUUUAAUUAAAAAAUAGUACCACUUUGAGGAUUUUACAGCUCUUCUUUUUGUUUUUUAGAUUAUUAUUUCCAAGGGUGAGGAUGGGGAUUAGGGAUGCUGAUGGAGCCCCACUGAGGGGCUAAAUCCUGCCAGCCCCUCAACUGUCACAGGUACUGAGAGUAUUUGCAAAUUUCUUUAAGCUGCUCCAUGUCUGAAAUGCCUUUCUUUUUGUCUCCACUAUAUUAUACCAUAUCAACCCUUCAGAGUGCCACAGAAGAACAGAGGACUGAAAUCCUGUGUCAGUGAUCAAAUCACAGAAGCUGGUCCUCACAGCAAACAGAGCACAUGAUUUAAACAGAUUUUUCUCUAGGGGCCUUCUUGGAAGUCUUCUUUGGAGGAGAAGACUAAUGGAGGGAGACUUGAGAAGUGUUGAAAAUCAGCAAAGGGUAUGUAGGAUACUGUUUUGCAAAGCCUGAUUUGCCAGAGGCCUCUUUAUUCGAG